rnacentral:rRNA from 1 species
CAGCCGCCGCGGGAAUACGGAGGAUCCAAGCGUUAUUCGGAAUCAUUGGGUUUAAAGGGUCCGUAGGCGGUCUUGUAAGUCAGUGGUGAAAGCCCAUCGCUCAACGGUGGAACGGCCAUUGAUACUGCAGGACUUGAAUUAUUGGGAAGUAACUAGAAUAUGUAGUGUAGCGGUGAAAUGCUUAGAGAUUACAUGGAAUACCAAUUGCGAAGGCAGGUUACUACCAAUUGAUUGACGCUGAUGGACGAAAGCGUGGGUAGCGAACAGGAUUAGAUACCCCAGUAGUCCCUGUCUCUUAUAC